rnacentral:rRNA from 1 species
GAUGAACGCUGGCGGCGUGCCUAAUACAUGCAAGUCGAGCGAACGGACGAGAAGCUUGCUUCUCUGAUGUUAGCGGCGGACGGGUGAGUAACACGUGGAUAACCUACCUAUAAGACUGGGAUAACUUCGGGAAACCGGAGAUAAUACCGGAUAAUAUUUUGAACCGCAUGGUUCAUAAGUGAAAGACGGUCUUGCUGUCACUUAUAGAUGGAUCCGCGCUGCAUUAGCUAGUUGGUAAGGUAACGGCUUACCAAGGCAACGAUGCAUAGCCGACCUGAGAGGGUGAUCGGCCACACUAGAACUGAGACACGGUCCAGACUACUACGGGAGGCAGCAGUAGGGAAUCUUCCGCAAUGGGCGAAAGCCUGACGGAGCAACGCCGCGUGAGUGAUGAAGGUCUUCGGAUCGUAAAGCUCUGUUAUUAGGGAAGAACAUAUGUGUAAGUAACUGUGCACAUCUUGACGGUACCUAAUCAGAAAGCCACGGCUAACUACGUG